rnacentral:rRNA from 1 species
UACGGGGGGAGCAAGCGUUGUUCGGAUUUACUGGGCGUAAAGGGCGCGUAGGCGGUCAGCACAAGUCAGUUGUGAAAUCUCCGGGCUUAACUCGGAAAGGUCAACUGAUACUGUGCGACUAGAGUGCAGAAGGGGCAACUGGAAUUCUCGGUGUAGCGGUGAAAUGCGUAGAUAUCUGGAGGAACACCGGUGGCGAAGGCGGCAUCCUGGACCGGUAUUGACGCUGAGGCGCGAAAGCCAGGGGAGCAAACAGG